UUGAACGCUGGCGGAAUGCUUUACACAUGCAAGUCGAGCGGCAGCGCGGUGGCAACUCUGGCGGCGAGCGGCGAACGGGUGAGUAAUGUAUCGGAACGUACCCUGUCGUGGGGGAUAACACAGCGAAAGCUGUGCUAAUACCGCAUACGACCUGAGGGUGAAAGCGGGGGAUCGCAAGACCUCGCGCGAUAGGAGCGGCCGAUAUCGGAUUAGCUUGUUGGUGAGGUAAAGGCUCACCAAGGCGACGAUCCGUAGCUGGUCUGAGAGGACGACCAGCCACACUGGAACUGAGACACGGUCCAGACUCCUACGGGAGGCAGCAGUGGGGAAUUUUGGACAAUGGGGGCAACCCUGAUCCAGCCAUUCCGCGGGAGUGAAGAAGGCCUUCGGGUUGUAAAGCUCUUUCAGCAGGAACGAAACGGUGGCUACUAAUACUAGCGACUAAUGACGGUACCUGAAGAAGAAGCACCGGCUAACUACGU
rnacentral:rRNA from 1 species